GUAGGAUUACAGGAGAACGUAAACUUAUGUCUAAUUCAAGUGGAUAUCUCUAUAUUAUUGGAGGACUACUAACCUUAAGUAUAUCUUUCAUGUACUAAUCUACAAUCUCAUUUAAUAAUGAACUUAUUCUUGCUUACUCAAAUCUUCACUGCUUCAAGCUACUAAUUAUCUGGAGGACAACUCCCAUCAUGCUUAUUAACUAUGAACUGUUCUUGCUUUGCAACUAUUCUCAGCUACUUGCUUAACAUUACUAUUGAAGAUUAUUCUCAUUAACCAAAGAAUGUUACUUAAUGCUUCUCUGAAGAAAUACUUAUUAAUGAACUUUGUGUUGUUGAUUAC